UACGUAGGGGGCAAGCGUUGUCCGGAAUCAUUGGGCGUAAAGAGCGCGUAGGCGGCCCAGUAAGUCCGCUCUGAAAGUCAGAGGCUCAACCUCUGAAUGCGGGUGGAUACUGCUGGGCUAGAGUCCGGAAGAGGCGAGUGGAAUUACCUGGUGUAGCGGGUGAAAUGCGCAGAUAUCAGGAGGAACACCGAUGGCGAAGGCAGCUCGCUGGGACGGUACUGACGCUGAGGCGCGAAAGCGUGGGGAGCAAACAGG
rnacentral:rRNA from 1 species